rnacentral:tRNA from 1 species
ACGUAGUUCAGUGGUAAAACAUUUGCCUCACAUGCACAAGCCCCUGGGUUCAAUCCCCAGUAUGUA